rnacentral:rRNA from 1 species
GUAGGGUGCGAGCGUUAAUCGGAAUUACUGGGCGUAAAGCGUGCGCAGGCGGUUAUGUAAGACAGAUGUGAAAUCCCCGGGCUCAACCUGGGAACUGCAUUUGUGACUGCAUGGCUAGAGUACGGUAGAGGGGGAUGGAAUUCCGCGUGUAGCAGUGAAAUGCGUAGAUAUGCGGAGGAACACCGAUGGCGAAGGCAAUCCCCUGGACCUGUACUGACGCUCAUGCACGAAAGCGUGGGGAGCAAACAGGAUUAGAUACCCUGGUAGUCCCACGCCCCUAAACGAUGUCAACUGGUUGUUGGGAAUUAGUUUUCUCAGUAACGAAGCUAACGCGUGAAGUUGACCCGCCUGGGGAGUACGGCCGCAAGGUUG